CUGUUUCCAGGAUGGUCGAGAAAGUGAAUUUUCAUCCUGGAAAGCCAGAUUCGAAUCGGUAGCCAUUCGGUUCACACAUUGAACCGGUUCUGGUUUAUUCUUAAACCCGUCCGAACUAAACGGAGUGGUUCAACUAGUUCUUGAUAUGUUCCUUUGCUUGCUUGACCAAUUAACGCACCAGGAUUUGGCUACUAUCCAAUUUGAUGAUUCUUGUUGUAG
rnacentral:lncRNA from 1 species